CCCUUAGAUGUUCUGGGCCGCACGCGCGCUACAAUGGCAAACUCAGCGAGUCUCCUUUACCGACAGGUAUAGGAAAUCUUUUCAGUGUUUGCCGUGAUGGGGCUAGACCCUUGUAAUUAUUGGUCUCCAACGAGGAAUUCCUAGUAAACGCAGGUCAUUAGCCUGCAUUGAUUACGUCCCUGCCCUUUGUACACACCGCCCGUCGCACCUACCGAUUGAAUGGUCCGGUGAAGUCUCCGGACUGAGUACUUUUAGUACUUGGGAAGUUGACUAAACCUUACUAUUUAGAGGAAGGUGAAGUCGUAACA
rnacentral:rRNA from 1 species